rnacentral:rRNA from 1 species
AACCUGGUUGAUCCUGCCAGUAGUCAUAUGCUUGUCUCAAAGAUUAAGCCAUGCAUGUCUAAGUAUAAAUGGAUUAUACAGUGAAACUGCGAAUGGCUCAUUAAAUCAGUUAUAGUUUAUUUGAUAAUACCUUUUACUUGGAUAACCGUAAUAAUUUUAGAGCUAAUACAUGCGUGAAAGUGCGACUUUUGUGGAAGCACUGUAUUUAUUAGAUACAAAACCAAUCGAGCUUGCUCGUUACCUUGGUGAUUCAUAAUAACUAAACGAAUCGUAUGACUUUAUGUCGACGAUGAUUCAUUCAAAUUUCUGCCCUAUCAACUUUCGAUGGUAAGGUAUUGGCUUACCAUGGUUACAACGGGUGACGGAGAAUUAGGGUUCGAUUCCGGAGAGGGAGCCUGAGAAACGGCUACCACUUCUACGGAGGGCAGCAGGCGCGCAAAUUACCCAAUCCUGACUCAGGGAGGUAGUGACGAAUAAUAACGAUACGUGACUUCGGUCUAGUAAUCGGAAUGAGUACAAUUUAAACCCCUUAAUGAAUUCCAUUGGAGGGCAAGUCUGGUGCCAGCAGCCGCGGUAAUUCCAGCUCCAAUAGC